GGGAGGAGCCAAGAUGGCCGCAUAGGAACAGCUCCAGUCCACAGCUCCCAGCGUGAGCGACGCAGAAGACGGGUGAUUUCUGCAUUUCCAUCUGAGCAGGCUUUUCUUCUUGGAGCUGAAACAGGCGCACUGGCGAGGGUUGUGAGGAAAGGUUUGCAGCCCCCUGCCUUGGUCUGCUAUAGCCAGUGACACGAUCAAUACCAGGGUGAGCAGCAGAGGAAGCUCAGGGAAGAUUAUGAAGAUGAGGUCUUCUUUGAUAACAUGUCAAGGAGUUACAUUUGACAUAGCCCUGUUAUUUUUACCACACCUUACAGACCUGGCGUGAGGAUUAAAUUAUACCAGCAAAGUGCCUGGCACCUGGAAUUUGCCUGAGUUCUGAUCAAUGCUAAAAACACCAUUUAACAGUGCCCUUUCCUGCCUGGGAAGCCCACAAAGAUUUCGCUUUUCACUUAUUACUCAUCAAACUGACUCUGGUUCACAGUGGAAAAGAGAAGAAAAGCUGAUGGAGAAAUGGCAGUGAAGAAGGAGAACAAAAUGUCAGAGCAAUACUUUUGAGCGACUAUAUCC
rnacentral:lncRNA from 1 species